GACGUAGGAGGCGAGCGUUGUCCGGAUUCAUUGGGCGUAAAGAGCACGCAGGCGGUUUGUCGCGUCUGCCGUGAAAGUCCGGGGCUCAACUCCGGAUCUGCGGUGGGUACGGGCAGACUAGAGUGAUGUAGGGGAGACUGGAAUUCCUGGUGUAGCGGUGAAAUGCGCAGAUAUCAGGAGGAACACCGAUGGCGAAGGCAGGUCUCUGGGCAUUAACUGACGCUGAGGAGCGAAAGCAUGGGGAGCGAACAGG
rnacentral:rRNA from 1 species